UGUGAAAUAGAGCAGUGGUAGCUCAUCGGGCUCAUGACCCGAAGGUCGGAGGUUCAAGUCCUCCUUUCACUC
rnacentral:tRNA from 1 species